GGCGGUCCAUGAUCUCGACAGGCUUCUCCACGAAGUGUAGUGUUUCGUUUACUUGAAGAUCCUCAAGUGGUACGUACAGAUCAUGUUCAUCCAGGCACUUUCUGAGGUUUGACACAUGGAAAGUCGGGUGGACGUUGCUAAGUUCCUCCGGUAGUUCGAGCCUGUAGGCCACCUUUCCGAUCCUUUCCAGAAUCUUAAAGGGUCCAACAUAUCGAGACGCUAGUGUAACCUCCGUCAAAAUCGACCCGUUUCAAAAUCCGACCCGUUUAAAAAAAAAAUGCGGAUCCUAAACUUUAGACCUCGGAAAUUUUCGCAAAAUAAAUAAUCGUGGAAAAAUAUCGUUAAUUUAAUCCGUUUAGAAAAAAAAGGAUAAUUAUUAUUAAAUAAACAAAUAAAGAAAGGAAAAGAUAUAUAUUUUUCGGUGAUCCCUUUCUUUAAUCAACUUUGCCGCCAAAAACCAAACACAGUGACUAAGUCAGCGGCACAUUUUCUUUCCUUCUUUCGUUCCUCGCUGAUUUUACGGGAUUGACAACUGUUCCGCGUUUCCUUGUAUGACCGAAUCAUGAACCUAGACUUAUGGUGAAACACAUACGAAUCAAUCCAAGGAUCGUUUCCAUACUUUGACAGUUAUACGAAUGCUAUAAAUACCGAGUUACCCUCACACCUUUCACCACCCCCACUCUCGAAAUACACGGCUGAAGGAACAAGGAGCUUUACCGGAGGCUCGCCGGAGUUCGAAGUUCGCCACAUCGGCGUUCGCGUUCGGAUAACCGCUCUCGUUUUGUUUGUUCCUUUGGAUUUCUUUACUCGUGCGCUAUCUUACAAGAAAUCGCAACGCAAGCAAUGUUGUUAGACGAAGUUAUCAAGAAAACAAGCUAGGAUGCUUUUAGAAACCCAUUUCAGCAAUUAAACAAUGCUUGAAUUUAUGUUUACUAUUUGAAACGAUGUAUCACUCUUUAGUUUUAAUAAAAUGGUUUAAUCUA